UUUCCGUAGGUGAACCUGCGGAAGGAUCAUUAUUGGAUUUUGAAACUUCAGGCUGCUGCUGGCUCUCCUCGGAGGGCAUGUGCACGCUUGUUGUCCAUUAUUUCUCCUACUGUGCACAAAUUGUAGACCUUUCAGUAGGCCUAUGUUGUUUUUCACAAUCUCUGAAUGUAAUAGAAUGGUUUUGAAUCUUGGGAAAUACAAUACAACUUUCAGCAACGGAUCUCUUGGCUCUC
rnacentral:misc_RNA from 1 species